rnacentral:rRNA from 1 species
GGGUUGUGAGGUUAAGCGACUAAGCGUACACGGUGGAUGCCCUGGCAGUCAGAGGCGAUGAAGGACGUGCUAAUCUGCGAUAAGCGUCGGUAAGGUGAUAUGAACCGUUAUAACCGGCGAUUUCCGAAUGGGGAAACCCAGUGUGAUUCGUCACACUAUCAUUAACUGAAUCCAUAGGUUAAUGAGGCGAACCGGGGGAACUGAAACAUCUAAGUACCCCGAGGAAAAGAAAUCAACCGAGAUUCCCCCAGUAGCGGCGAGCGAACGGGGAGCAGCCCAGAGCCUGAAUCAGUGUGUGUGUUAGUGGAAGCGUCUGGAAAGGCGCGCGAUACAGGGUGACAGCCCCGUACACAAAAAUGCACAUAUUGUGAGCUCGAUGAGUAGGGCGGGACACGUGGUAUCCUGUCUGAAUAUGGGGGGCCCAUCCUCCAAGGCUAAAUACUCCUGACUGACCGAUAGUGAACCAGUACCGUGAGGGAAAGGCGAAAAGAACCCCGGCGAGGGGAGUGAAAAAGAACCUGAAACCGUGUACGUACAAGCAGUGGGAGCACGCUUAGGCGUGUGACUGCGUACCUUUUGUAUAAUGGGUCAGCGACUUAUAUUCUGUAGCAAGGUUAACCGAAUAGGGGAGCCGAAGGGAAACCGAGUCUUAACUGGGCGUUAAGUUGCAGGGUAUAGACCCGAAACCCGGUGAUCUAGCCAUGGGCAGGUUGAAGGUUGGGUAACACUAACUGGAGGACCGAACCGACUAAUGUUGAAAAAUUAGCGGAUGACUUGUGGCUGGGGGUGAAAGGCCAAUCAAACCGGGAGAUAGCUGGUUCUCCCCGAAAGCUAUUUAGGUAGCGCCUCGUGAAUUCAUCUCCGGGGGUAGAGCACUGUUUCGGCAAGGGGGUCAUCCCGACUUACCAACCCGAUGCAAACUGCGAAUACCGGAGAAUGUUAUCACGGGAGACACACGGCGGGUGCUAACGUCCGUCGUGAAGAGGGAAACAACCCAGACCGCCAGCUAAGGUCCCAAAGUCAUGGUUAAGUGGGAAACGAUGUGGGAAGGCCCAGACAGCCAGGAUGUUGGCUUAGAAGCAGCCAUCAUUUAAAGAAAGCGUAAUAGCUCACUGGUCGAGUCGGCCUGCGCGGAAGAUGUAACGGGGCUAAACCAUGCACCGAAGCUGCGGCAGCGACGCUUAUGCGUUGUUGGGUAGGGGAGCGUUCUGUAAGCCUGCGAAGGUGUGCUGUGAGGCAUGCUGGAGGUAUCAGAAGUGCGAAUGCUGACAUAAGUAACGAUAAAGCGGGUGAAAAGCCCGCUCGCCGGAAGACCAAGGGUUCCUGUCCAACGUUAAUCGGGGCAGGGUGAGUCGACCCCUAAGGCGAGGCCGAAAGGCGUAGUCGAUGGGAAACAGGUUAAUAUUCCUGUACUUGGUGUUACUGCGAAGGGGGGACGGAGAAGGCUAUGUUGGCCGGGCGACGGUUGUCCCGGUUUAAGCGUGUAGGCUGGUUUUCCAGGCAAAUCCGGAAAAUCAAGGCUGAGGCGUGAUGACGAGGCACUACGGUGCUGAAGCAACAAAUGCCCUGCUUCCAGGAAAAGCCUCUAAGCAUCAGGUAACAUCAAAUCGUACCCCAAACCGACACAGGUGGUCAGGUAGAGAAUACCAAGGCGCUUGAGAGAACUCGGGUGAAGGAACUAGGCAAAAUGGUGCCGUAACUUCGGGAGAAGGCACGCUGAUAUGUAGGUGAAGUCCCUUGCGGAUGGAGCUGAAAUCAGUCGAAGAUACCAGCUGGCUGCAACUGUUUAUUAAAAACACAGCACUGUGCAAACACGAAAGUGGACGUAUACGGUGUGACGCCUGCCCGGUGCCGGAAGGUUAAUUGAUGGGGUCAGCGCAAGCGAAGCUCUUGAUCGAAGCCCCGGUAAACGGCGGCCGUAACUAUAACGGUCCUAAGGUAGCGAAAUUCCUUGUCGGGUAAGUUCCGACCUGCACGAAUGGCGUAAUGAUGGCCAGGCUGUCUCCACCCGAGACUCAGUGAAAUUGAACUCGCUGUGAAGAUGCAGUGUACCCGCGGCAAGACGGAAAGACCCCGUGAACCUUUACUAUAGCUUGACACUGAACAUUGAGCCUUGAUGUGUAGGAUAGGUGGGAGGCUUUGAAGUGUGGACGCCAGUCUGCAUGGAGCCGGCCUUGAAAUACCACCCUUUAAUGUUUGAUGUUCUAACGUGGACCCGUGAUCCGGGUUGCGGACAGUGUCUGGUGGGUAGUUUGACUGGGGCGGUCUCCUCCUAAAGAGUAACGGAGGAGCACGAAGGUUGGCUAAUCUGGUCGGACAUCAGGAGGUUAGUGCAAUGGCAUAAGCCAGCUUGACUGCGAGCGUGACGGCGCGAGCAGGUGCGAAAGCAGGUCAUAGUGAUCCGGUGGUUCUGAAUGGAAGGGCCAUCGCUCAACGGAUAAAAGGUACUCCGGGGAUAACAGGCUGAUACCGCCCAAGAGUUCAUAUCGACGGCGGUGUUUGGCACCUCGAUGUCGGCUCAUCACAUCCUGGGGCUGAAGUAGGUCCCAAGGGUAUGGCUGUUCGCCAUUUAAAGUGGUACGCGAGCUGGGUUUAGAACGUCGUGAGACAGUUCGGUCCCUAUCUGCCGUGGGCGCUGGAGAACUGAGGGGGGCUGCUCCUAGUACGAGAGGACCGGAGUGGACGCAUCACUGGUGUUCGGGUUGUCAUGCCAAUGGCACUGCCCGGUAGCUAAAUGCGGAAGAGAUAAGUGCUGAAAGCAUCUAAGCACGAAACUUGCCCCGAGAUGAGUUCUCCCUGACCCUUUAAGGGUCCUGAAGGAACGUUGAAGACGACGACGUUGAUAGGCCGGGUGUGUAAGCGCAGCGAUGCGUUGAGCUAACCGGUACUAAUGAACCGUGAGGCUUAACCUUACAACGCCGAAG